CCGAAAGGCAGGAGUGCCUGCAAGGGAGCGCGGAGACAGGUGGUGCAUGGCUGUCGUCAGCUCGUGUCGUGAGAUGUUGGGUUAAGUCCCGCAACGAGCGCAACCCUCACCUCUUGUUGCCAUCAGGUCAUGCUGGGCACUCUAGAGGAACUGCCCCGGUCAACGGGGAGGAAGGCGGGGAUGACGUCAAGUCAUCAUGCCCCUUACGUCCUGGGCUACACACGUGCUACAAUGGCCGGUACAAAGGGAUGCCACACCGCGAGGUAGAGCUAAACCCAAAAAGCCGGUCUAAGUUCGGAUUGGAGUCUGCAACUCGACUCCAUGAAGGAGGAAUCGCUAGUAAUCGCGUAUCAGCACGACGCGGUGAAUACGUUCCCGGGCAUUGUACACACCGCCCGUCACACCACGAAAGCCAGCUGUACUCGAAGUCG
rnacentral:rRNA from 1 species